UACGUAGGGUGCAAGCGUUGUCCGGAAUUAUUGGGCGUAAAGAGCUCGUAGGCGGUUUGUCGCGUCUGCUGUGAAAACUCGGGGCUUAACCCCGGGCCUGCAGUGGGUACGGGCAGACUAGAGUGAUGUAGGGGAGACUGGAAUUCCUGGUGUAGCGGUGAAAUGCGCAGAUAUCAGGAGGAACACCGAUGGCGAAGGCAGGUCUCUGGGCCAUUACUGACGCCGAGAAGCGAAAGCAUGGGGAGCGAACAGG
rnacentral:rRNA from 1 species